rnacentral:rRNA from 1 species
AAGGACCCCGGGAGGGGAGUGAAAGAGAACCUGAAACCUUGUGCUUACAAACAGUCAAAGGCCUACGGGCUGAUGGCGUACUUUUUGUAGAACGGUCCGGCGAGUUACUAAUGCCAGCGAGGUUAAGAUGUCAGAAGCAUCGGAGCCGAAGGGAAACCAAGUCUGAAUAGGGCGUAGAGUUGGUAUUAGUAGACCCGAAACCGGGUGACCUAUCCAUGUCCAGGUUGAAGGAACCGUAAAAGGUUUUGGAGGACCGAACACACAUGUGUUGAAAAACGUGGUGAUGAGGUGUGGAUAGCGGAGAAAUUCCAAUCGAACUCGGAGAUAGCUGGUUCUCCUCGAAAUAGCUUUAGGGCUAGCCUCGAGCUGGAGUCUAACGGAGGUAAAGCACUGAACUGACGCGGGGCCCAAAAAGGUUACCAACUCAUAUCAAACUAAGAAUGCCGUCAAGAUACCCUCGGGAGUCAGUCUGCGUGAGAUAAGUCGCGUGGACAAAAGGGAAAGAGCCCAGACCGACAGCUAAGGUCCCAAAGUACGUGUUAAGUGGAAAAGGAUGUGGGAUUUCAUAGACAACUAGGAUGUUGGCUUAGAAGCAGCCAUACAUUUAAAGAGUGCGUAAUAGCUCACUAGUCGAGAAAACCUGCGCCGAAAAUGUAACGGGGCUAAAACACGACACCGAAGCUACGGAUUUCCUACUAGGUAGGAAGUGGUAGAGGAGCAUCCUGCAAGGACGAAGCCAAAGUGAGAGCGAUGGUGGACGAAACAGGAGAGAGAAUGCCGGAAUGAGUAGCGAGAUACAUGUGAGAAACAUGUAGGCCGAAUAUCUAAGGAUUCCUGGGUAAAGCUAAUCUUCCCAGGGUUAGUCGGGGCCUAAGGCGAGGACGAAAGUCGUAGUCGAUGGAUAACAGGUUGAUAUUCCUGUACUACACAUAAUCAGAACUGUGGGGACGCAGGAGGAUAGGGAAACCGGGGAAUGGAAAGACCCGGUCAAGCGUAAAGCUGUGGGAGAUAGGCAAAUCCGUCUCCUGUAAGUGAAACGUGAUGAGGACUGAAAAAAAGUAAGGAAGUUUCCGAAUCCACACUGCCGAGAAAAGCCGCUAUUGCGUUAUGUGUACCCGUACCGUAAACCGACACAGGUAGAUGAGGAGAAAAUCCACAGGCCGACGGGAGAAGUGUUGUUAAGGAACUCGGCAAAAUGACCCCGUAACUUCGGGAUAAGGGGAGCCUCGCAAGAGGCCGCAGAAAAGAGGCACAAGCAACUGUUUAGCAAAAACAUAGGUCUAUGCGAAACCGUAAGGUGAAGUAUAUGGGCUGACGCCUGCCCGGUGCUGGAAGGUUAAAAGGAGAGGUCAGCGCAAGCGAAGCUUUGAAUUCAAGCCCCAGUAAACGGCGGCCGUAACUAUAACGGUCCUAAGGUAGCGAAAUUCCUUGUCAGGUAAGUUCUGACCCGCACGAAAGGCGUAAUGAUUUGUGCACUGUCUCGACAACACGCCCGGUGAAAUUGAAGAACCAGUGAAGAUACUGGUUACCCGCAACAGGACGGAAAGACCCCAUGGAGCUUUACUGCAGCCUGAUACUGGGAUUCGAUGAUAUAUGUACAGGAUAGGUGGGAGGCUAAGAAGCGAGAACGCUAGUUUUCGUGGAGCCGCCGGUGGGAUACCACUCUUAUGUCAUUGAAUUUCUAACCUGCAUCCGUAAUCCGGAUGAGGGACAAUGUCAGGCGGGCAGUUUGACUGGGGCGGUCGCCUCCUAAAAGGUAACGGAGGCGCUCGAAGGUCACCUCAGAAUGAUUGGAAACCAUUCAAAGAGUGUAAAGGCAAAAGGUGGCUUGACUGCGAGAGCGACGGCUCGAGCAGGUACGAAAGUAGGACUUAGUGAUCCGGUGGUAAUAAGUGGGAAUGCCAUCGCUCAACGGAUAAAAGCUACCCUGGGGAUAACAGGCUUAUCUCCCCCAA